rnacentral:rRNA from 1 species
UACGGGGGGAGCAAGCGUUGUUCGGAUUUACUGGGCGUAAAGGGCGUGUAGGCGGUCUGUUAAGUCUGAUGUGAAAUCCCCUCGCUCAACGAGGGAACUGCGUCGGAUACUGGCAGACCUGAGUACCGGAGAGGAAGGUGGAAUUCCCGGUGUAGCGGUGAAAUGCGUAGAUAUCAGGAGGAACACCUGCGGUGUAGACGGCUUACUGGACCAUCACUGACGCUGAGGCACGAAAGCGUGGGUAGCGAACAGG